rnacentral:rRNA from 1 species
AGUGAACGCUAGCGGUGCGCCUAACACAUGCAAGUCGAACGAAGUCUUCGGACUUAGUGGCGGACGGGUGAGUAACACGUGGGAACGUACCUUUUGGUUCGGAACAACUCAGGGAAACUUGAGCUAAUACCGGAUGAGCCCUUAGGGGGAAAGAUUUAUCGCCGAAAGAGCGGCCCGCGUUAGAUUAGCUAGUUGGUGAGGUAAAGGCUCACCAAGGCUACGAUCUAUAGCUGGUCUGAGAGGAUGAUCAGCCACACUGGGACUGAGACACGGCCCAGACUCCUACGGGAGGCAGCAGUGGGGAAUCUUGCGCAAUGGGCGAAAGCCUGACGCAGCCAUGCCGCGUGAAUGAUGAAGGUCUUAGGAUUGUAAAAUUCUUUUACCAGGGACGAUAAUGACGGUACCUGGAGAAAAAGCCCCGGCUAACUUCGUGCCAGCCGCCGCCGUAA